ACGUGCUGGGGGCGGAGCUCCGAGACGGCCCUUGCAGCAUGGCCGCCGGCACUGCCGCCGCUUUAGUUUAUUUGAGUCAAGAGAGCCGAUCCCGGGCCGGGGGUGUCGGGGGUCUGCGAGUCCCGGCCCCGGUUACUAUGGACAGUUUCUUUUUCGGCUGUGAGCUCUCUGGCCACACCCGCUCCUUCACUUUCAAGGUAGAGGAAGAGGAUGAUGCAGAGCACUUGCUGGCGUUGACCAUGCUCUGCCUCACCGAGGGGGCCAAGGACGAGUGUAAUGUAGUGGAAGUUGUGGCCCGAAACCAUGAUCACCAGGAGAUUGCAGUUCCUGUGGCCAACCUCAAGUUGUCUUGCCAGCCCAUGCUCAGUCUAGAUGACUUCCAGCUUCAACCACCUGUAACCUUCCGCCUGAAGUCAGGCUCUGGCCCUGUGCGAAUCACUGGGCGGCACCAGAUUGCUUGUGUUUCUACCAGUUACUAUGAGCAAUGAUGUUUCUGAGGAAGAGGAGAGUGAAGAAGAGGAUAAUGUAGAGGAGGAAGAUGAAUUGUGCCCCAUCCUUCCUGCCAAAAAGCAGGGGAGUAGGCGCUAGCCUUUGGUCAGGUAACUACCUGCUGCAUCACCAUGCACCAUGUUCGUGGACAAGUUUCAAGAAUUUUAAAUGUUUCUUCUCCAUUGAAGAGGAGAGUUUGGGGCAUGGGUUGGGUAGAAGGGUCUUGUGCUGGUGCUAGGAAAGAGGCAUUCUCCUUAGGGUCCUGGUGUUCUAGUCCUGUACCAUGUCUGGAGCUUCCCUUUCCUAUAGGCAUAAGGGGAAUUUUGAACUUUUAUGCUGACUCUAUGUCCCCACCUGCCUGUGAGGAUUAAAGGUUAGUAUCUGAAUCUCAACUACACAUUUGUAACACUUUUUACAUUUUUAGAUAAAGAUUGAAAUAAAGUGGUGUGGGGUUUUUUGCAA